rnacentral:misc_RNA from 1 species
AACACUGUUAACCUGCGGUACCUGCGGAGGGAUCAUUACCGAGUUUACAACUCCCAAACCCCUGUGAACAUACCUAUACGUUGCCUCGGCGGAUCAGCCCGCGCCCCGUAAAACGGGACGGCCCGCCCGAGGACCCUAAACUCUGUUUUUAGUGGAACUUCUGAGUAAAACAAACAAAUAAAUCAAAACUUUCAACAACGGAUCU